rnacentral:rRNA from 1 species
UACAGAGGUCUCAAGCGUUGUUCGGAUUCAUUGGGCGUAAAGGGUGCGUAGGUGGCGUGGUAAGUCGGGUGUGAAAUUUCGGAGCUUAACUCCGAAACUGCAUUCGAUACUGCCGUGCUUGAGGACUGGAGAGGAGACUGGAAUUUACGGUGUAGCAGGUGAAAUGCGUAGAGAUCGUAAGGAAGACCAGUGGCGAAGGUGGGUCUCUGGACAGUUCCUGACGCUGAGGCACGAAGGCAGGGGAGCAAACGGGAUUAGAACCUA